rnacentral:rRNA from 1 species
CCUACGGGUGGCAGCAGUGAGGAAUAUUGGUCAAUGGACGAGAGUCUGAACCAGCCAAGUAGCGUGAAGGAUGACUGCCCUAUGGGUUGUAAACUUCUUUUAUAUGGGAAUAAAAUGUUCCACGUGUGGGAUUUUGUAUGUACCAUAUGAAUAAGGCUCGGCUAACUCCGUGCCAGCAGCCGCGGUAAUACGGAGGAUACGAGCGUUAUCCGGAUUUAUUGGGGUUAAGGGGAGCGUAGGUGGAUUGUUAAGUCAGUUGUGAAAGUUUGCGGCUCAACCGUAAAAUUGCAGUUGAAACUGGCAGUCUUGAGUACAGUAGAGGUUGGCGGAAUUCGUGGUGUAGCGGUGAAAUGCUUAGAUAUCACGAAGAACUCCGAUUGCGAAGGCAGUUCACUGGACUGCAACUGACACUGAGGCUCGAAAGUGUGGGUAUCAAACAGGAUUAGAUACCCCAGUAGUC